UUGCAUUAUAUGAACAUUUUGGUUGUGCCUUUCUAUCUAUACAUAAGAGAAUAAGAGCCAACUCCUGAGUCAAGAACCAAUGCCACGAGAAGAACAAUCGUAACAAAACCCUGAGCUACAAUGUCAGGCAUAAGAUUUAUGAAAUUGAUCUCCUGAGGAACUUAUACAUUAUUCAUUUGCAAGAGAGAAAAAUCCAACCGCACCAUGAUUAACUUCAAGCCUUCCACGCCAUGUGAAAGACACCAAAAGCAGGUAGAAGUGAUUAAGUGAGGUAAGAAACGGUUUUGGU
rnacentral:lncRNA from 1 species